rnacentral:rRNA from 1 species
AGAGUUUGAUCAUGGCUCAGAACGAACGCUGGCGGCGUGCUUAACACAUGCAAGUCGAACGCGAACGAGUUCUUCGGAACUUUAGUAGAGUGGCGCACGGGUGAGUAACGCGUAAGUAAUCUACCCUCGCAUCUGGGAUAACCCACCGAAAGGUGUGCUAAUACCGGAUACGUCUAAGUUAAUAUCUUUUUUUUAGAGAAAGGUGGCCUCUGAUUCAAGCUACUGUGCGGGGAGGAGCUUGCGUACCAUUAGCUAGUUGGUAGGGUAACGGCCUACCAAGGCGACGAUGGUUAGCGGGUCUGAGAGGAUGAUCCGCCACACUGGAACUGAAACACGGGCCAGACUCCUACGGGAGGCAGCAGUGAGGAAUAUUGCGCAAUGGGGGCAACCCUGACGCAGCGACGCCGCGUGGAUGAUGAAGGCCUUCGGGUUGUAAAAUCCUGUCAGAUGGGAAGAAGUGCUAUAUGGUUAAUAUCUGUAUAGUUUGACGGUACCAUCAAAGGAAGCACCGGCUAACUCCGUGCCAGCAGCCGCGGUAAUACGGAGGGUGCAAGCGUUGUUCGGAAUUACUGGGCGUAAAGCGCGCGUAGGCGGCUAUGUAAGUCAGAUGUGAAAGCCCGCGGCUCAACCGUGGAAGUGCAUUUGAAACUGUAUAGCUUGAGUACUGGAGGGGGUAGUGGAAUUCCCGGUGUAGAGGUGAAAUUCGUAGAUAUCGGGAGGAAUACCGGUGGCGAAGGCGACUACCUGACCAGAUACUGACGCUGAGGUGCGAAAGCGUGGGGAGCAAACAGGAUUAGAUACCCUGGUAGUCCACGCCGUAAACGAUGUCAACUAGGUGUUGGAGUGGUUAAUCGCUUCAUUGCCGGAGCUAACGCAUUAAGUUGACCGCCUGGAGAGUACGGUCGCAAGAUUAAAACUCAAAGGAAUUGACG